rnacentral:rRNA from 1 species
CCUACGGGAGGCAGCAGUGGGGAAUAUUGCACAAUGGGGGAAACCCUGAUGCAGCGACGCCGCGUGAGUGAAGAAGUAAUUCGUUAUGUAAAGCUCUAUCAGCAGGGAAGAAAAUGACGGUACCUGAGUAAGAAGCCCCGGCUAACUACGUGCCAGCAGCCGCGGUAAUACGUAGGGGGCAAGCGUUAUCCGGAUUUACUGGGUGUAAAGGGAGCGUAGACGGCAGUGCAAGUCUGGAGUGAAAGGCGGGGGCUCAACCCCCGGACUGCUCUGGAAACUGUACGGCUGGAGUGCAGGAGAGGGAAGUGGAAUUCCAUGUGUAGCGGGGAAAUGCGGAGAUAGUAGGAGGAACACCAGUGGCGAAGGCGGCUUACUGGACUGUAACUGACGUUGAGGCUCGAAAGCGUGGGGAGCAAACAGGAUUAGAUACCCCUGUAGUC